GGGACAGGCUCCCGGCCGGGACCUCGGAAGAGCUUAGGCUCCGCCCUACUUGCUCAGCGUUCCCGCCCUCGCUCCGCCUCUCCACGGCCUCAGGCGCAUCUGCGCUUCUCGCGAUACCUUCGGGGAUUUGUGAUGUUUUGGUUUCCAUGGAGCUGCCCUCUGGGAGCACGAGGGGUACAAUUGGAACGAAGGCGGCGCACAGUUAACUGGAACUCUGCAGCCGUCCAAGCCCAAAGAAGGUGGGGAGCUUGGGAAAGAAGUUCCUCAUAAUCGGAGCAGGAGGAGCCCGCCCAGCCUCGCUCAAAGGAGGAGACGAGACUCUGAGGGACAAUUUAGAAGUGUGUCCUCAAUUUAAGACACCUAAAUAGGGAACUGUGGGGCUGUGGGCCUUAGGAGAGAAAAGGAGAGCCCCAGAGAGAGCACCCCUAUGCUGCGGAAGAGGGACUAAAGAGAUGGCAGUCCUUCCAGGAGGGAUUGGACAGAUAUUCAGGCGUCCGGUGGCCUGCAGGCCCCCAUCAGAGUGGGCUGCAAUUGGCCCAGACCUGCUUCCUACUUUGUUUUCUCCGGUUUCACCCCCAGCUUCUCUCGCAAGCAACCACCUGGUGAUUCCUGACGAGGCCUGACUUCCGGAAGGCAAGCCACGCCCUCCGGGCUCCCCUGCCUCUCUUUGGCUCCAGCUUGGCAUGUAUAGGAGCUGCCCAAGGAAUGACAGACUUCUUGUUCUUGAGGUGUUGGCAAAGCUUCCUGCACUGCUGACCUAUCCAAGUCCUGCCUUGUAGCUGCUCUUGGGCAUAGGUUACUCUUGGCUCUGCCAACCACCCGUACAGGACUAAUUGCAGUUUUACCUCAACGUGCGCUUUUUACAAUUAAAAACUGACUUAAUGGCUUCUAUUUCCCUGCCUCAACAAAAAAAAUUUACUCUCUCUGAACCCAAA
ensembl:lncRNA novel transcript